UACGUAGGGGGCUAGCGUUGUCCGGAUUUAUUGGGCGUAAAGAGCUCGUAGGUGGUUCGGUAAGUCGGAUGUGAAAUCUCCAGGCUCAACCUGGAGGGGUCAUUCGAUACUGCCGUGACUAGAGUUCGGUAGAGGAGUGUGGAAUUCCCGGUGUAGCGGUGAAAUGCGCAGAUAUCGGGAGGAACACCGGUGGCGAAGGCGGUUCUCUGGGCCUUACCUGACGCUGAGGAGCGAAAGCGUGGGGAGCGAACAGG
rnacentral:rRNA from 1 species